AACGUAGGAUACAAACGUUAUCCGGAGUUACUGGGCGUAAAGGGCGUGUAGGUGGUUCUGUAAGUCUGGCGUGAAAUUUUUCGGCUUAACCGGGAAAGGUCGUCGGAUACUGCAGGGCUAGAGGACGGUAGAGGCGUGUGGAAUUCCGGGUGUAGUGGUGAAAUGCGUAGAGAUCCGGAGGAACACCAGUGGCGAAGGCGACACGCUGGGCCGUACCUGACACUGAUGCGCGACAGCAUGGGGAGCAAACAGG
rnacentral:rRNA from 1 species